rnacentral:rRNA from 1 species
CCUACGGGUGGCAGCAGUGAGGAAUAUUGGUCAAUGGCCGGGAGGCUGAACCAGCCAAGUCGCGUGAGGGAAGACGGCCCUACGGGUUGUAAACCUCUUUUGUCAGGGAGCAAGGUGCAGGUCGGGACCUGCUGUGAGAGUCCCUGAAGAAAAAGCAGUGGCUAACUCCGUGCCAGCAGCCGCGGUAAUACGGAGGAUGAGAGCGUUGUCCGGAUUAAUUGGGUUUAAAGGGUGCGCAGGCGGCGGCACAAGUCAGCGGUAAAAUCGCGGGGCUCGACCCCGCUCCGACGUUGAAACGGUGGCCCUUGAGUGCGCGAAGGGUAGGCGGAAUGCGUGGUGUAGCGGUGAAAGGCAUAGAUAGCACGCAGAACUCCGAUCGCGAAGGCAGCCUACCGGCGCGCAACUGACGCUCAUGCACGAAAGCGUGGGUAUCGAACAGGAUUAGAUACCCUUGUAGUC